rnacentral:rRNA from 1 species
CCUACGGGUGGCUGCAGUGAGGAAUAUUGGUCAAUGGACGCGAGCCUGAACCAGCCAAGUCGCGUGAAGGAUGACUGCCCUAUGGGUUGUAAACUUCUUUUAUAAAAGAAUAAAGUGAGGCACGCGUGCCUGUCUGUAUGUACUUUACGAAUAAGGAUCGGCUAACUCCGUGCCAGCAGCCGCGGUAAUACGGAGGAUCCGAGCGUUAUCCGGAUUUAUUGGGUUUAAGGGGUGCGUAGAUGGGUUGUUAAGUCAGUUGUGAAAGUUUGCGGCUCAACCGUAGAAUUGCAAGUGAUACUGGCAGUCUUGAGUACAGUUGAGGUAGGCGGAAUGCGUGGUGUAGCGGUGAAAUGCUUAGAUAUCACGAAGAACACCGAUUGCGAAGGCAGCUUACUAAACUGCCACUGACAUUGAUGCUCGAAAGUGUGGGGAGCAAACAGGAUUAGAUACCCGGGUAGUC